rnacentral:tRNA from 1 species
GCUGUGGCUCAGUGGCAGAAGAAUCUGUUUGGUAUGGCGGAAGGUCCCAGGUUCAACCCCUGGCAUCUCCA